AUACGGAGGGUGCGAGCGUUAUCCGGAUUUAUUGGGUUUAAAGGGUGCGUAGGCGGAAUAUUAAGUCAGUGGUGAAAUCCUGCGGCUCAACCGUAGAACUGCCAUUGAUACUGAUAUUCUUGAAUGUAGUUGAGGUAGGCGGAAUGUGUAAUGUAGCGGUGAAAUGCUUAGAUAUUACACAGAACACCGAUUGCGAAGGCAGCUUACCAGACUGUAAUUGACGCUAAGGCACGAAAGCGUGGGGAGCGAACAGGAUUAGAAACCCCGGUAGUCC
rnacentral:rRNA from 1 species